AUGCAUACAUGUGCUGGAGCAGUCCACAUCAAGCUUGGCUCCUCCACCUUCUGUCGCUCGAUGGCUCCUUUGCUGACGCAGAAAACGGAGACGUCUCUCAGCGUUUCAGCCUCUCCUUCGCUUGGAGUGAGUUUCGUGUCAACGCUCCCGGUUGUCCUCACCAUCCUUCUGCUGCUUCUCUGCUUCCCUUUUAGAAGGAAAAAAAGACAAUUGUCUCCACGAGUCCUUCAGAGGGAGAGGAAUUCAUCCCAGCUUAUUCACAUAGCCAAAUUGGAAGAGGAACCGAGUCCGGAGAGAAAGCCUUUGGAAGAUGAAAACACUCACAAAGGUAAGACGUCCAUACAUUGGAAGUGCUUUGGAUGCUUACAGUUUGUCGUAUGUAAGCGAAAAGUGCGACAAAAUUGUCAUUGAACAACAGUAACCUUUCAAUCUUUCACUUUUCCCAACUUCUUUUACAAUGAAGGAAUGGAUUUAAAUUGCAGGAAAAGAGAUUCCACCUAAAUAUUAGGGAGAACUUUUUUUCCCCAAAUAAUUUUUAUUAAACACUAGCUUGGGUAUCCGGCGAUGCGCGGGUUAUUUGAAAAAGUCAUUAUUUGUCUUUGAUUGUUAGGUAUUCUCAGUUUGGAGUGGGUGAAUUACAAUUCCCAGAAUCCUGGGUCAAUCCUCCCCAAACCCUGCCAGUAUUCAAAGUUGGCCAUUGUGGGUCUGUGUACCAAGUGUAGUCCAGAUCUGUCAUUGGCUGGUCAUCGCCCGGCUGCAGUGCUCGCUGGAUGAGGGUGAACUACUACAACUCCCAGAUUCCCAGGGCAAUUGUCCCGAAACAUCUGUCAGUAUCCACAGCAGGCAAUGUUGAGUCUGUGUGCCAAGUUUGGUCCAGAUCCAUGGUUGGCUGGGUUCAAUGCUCUUUGGAUGCAGGUGAACUACAACUCUCAAAAUCAAGGCCCAUUCCCACAAACCCCUGCAGUAUGUUCAAUUGGUCAUGAGACUUCUCUGUGCAAAGUUUGGUCCCGGUCCAUUGUCGGUGGGGGUCACUGUUUCUCUGGAUGCAGGUGAACUAUAACUCCCUUUCCCCCAAACUUGUCCAAUAUGUUCUGUUGGUCAUGGGGGCUCUGUGUGCCAAGUUUGGUCCUGGUCCAUCAUCGGUGGGGUUCGGAGUGCUCAUUCAUUGUAGGUGAACUAUAAAUCCCAGCACCUACUCCUCCCAAAUGUCCUGGCCAAUUCCCCUCCAAACUCACCAGUAUUCAAAUCUGGGCAUAUUGGGUAUGUAUGGCAAGUUUGGUCCAGAGCCAUCAUUGUUUGGGUUCUGGGUGUAGGUGAACUACAACUCCUCUAUAUUCCCCAGUAGGAGUCACAGUGCUCUGAUUUGAUGCAGGAUGAACUACAACUUCCAC
rnacentral:lncRNA from 11 species